UACGUAGGGGGCUAGCGUUGUCCGGAAUCAUUGGGCGUAAAGCGCGUGUAGGCGGUCCGGUAAGUCCGCUGUGAAAGUCGGGGGCUCAACCCUCGGAUGCCGGUGGAUACUGUCGGGCUUGAGUACGGAAGAGGCGAGUGGAAUUCCUGGUGUAGCGGUGAAAUGCGCAGAUAUCAGGAGGAACACCAAUUGCGAAGGCAGCUCGCUGGGACGUUACUGACGCUGAGGCGCGACAGCGUGGGGAGCAAACAGG
rnacentral:rRNA from 1 species